rnacentral:lncRNA from 1 species
CGCACAUCCCUUAAUUUUGUGCACCAUCAGAUGGGGCUCUGAGACAUGUGGAUGUGGAAGAAGAGGAGGAGUCCUUCUCUGAGAAGAAACUCCAUGCCAAAAUAAAUGUGGGAUGCCCAUAUUGUUGUGCAUUGAAAUGGAAGAGUCCAUUUCACAUUGGACUCUUAAAUUCCUUAUCAAAUUGUCCAUGCAUUUCUUAUAUCCUCGUAUCAUGUGAUGGAGCCUUGGGAUGUGGG